UGCUUUUAGUCUAAAAGUACUUCUGAUACUCGGUGAGGUUGUUUGGUAAACUCCUAUAUUCUGGCUUCUGGGCAGAAGCGCUGCUGGCCACAGCAGAAAAUCGAAAGCUACUUUUAUUAGCUUUUGAAAGUGGAUUUUGCGGAACCGAGAUGAAAAACACGGAGCUUUUAAUGAAGUUGACUGAAUUGCCUUAUUUGUCCUCGUCCUUUUCUAAAAUUUACAUUGAACAUUGAUUACCCAAUUCUUUCUCCUCUUCGACAACUCGAACAGAGAUGAUCCAAAAUUCUUAGCUCUUCACCAACCUUCAAGAACACUGGAAUUCCCACAUCAUUAUUAAAGACACCCCCAUAAACCCAUUUCUGGAUCUAACUACGGCUCACUCACCCCUCGUUGAUUCCCAUUCUGCAACUUAAGGGUUCGUUGCUUGCUCAAUUUUGUGAAGUGGGUCUUUUUCUCUCUGGCUCCAGAAGAUGAAGGUCAUCGUAGUUACAAGGAGUGGUAGAGAGCUUUUCAAGGGUGGCCUUGAGCUCAGUGACUCUGAGGAGAUCCAUAAGCGAUGUAAGUGUUUGCAGAUGCAUACUUUACAUCCUGUAAUACUUAUGGAAGUUUGCAGAAUUGGAAGUGAAGAUUGGAUGAUUACUUUACAUCCUGUUUACUGUGAAGGGUCAGUAGAGUGGGUUAGAGGUUGUAUGACUGUUGAAGACCACAAAUCAGGGUUGAUUGCAAAAGAAAAUAUGUCCUUUUGUUAUUGCAAAAGAAAAUCUGUCCUUUUGUUUAUCUCUCUGCUGAAUUGUAAUUCCAAUCUCUUCUGCAAUCUAAUCUUCCAAACAUAAUAUAAUGUUACUCCCUUAUAUUUUGCAGUUUGCUUUGCUUAUUUGAAUUAGGGAAAGGUAAAGCUGGAGCCGUUCCAAUUAUGGUGCCUAGUUCUACGAUUGUAAUUGUAAAUCUGGAUUGUAAUUUCUGCAAUCUGAUAUAUUAUGGUGCCUAGUUCCAAUUA